CCAUUCAACUGAAAAUCUCAAAUCUCUUAUUUUCCCCUUUCCCUUUCAUUUUCAUUUCCUCCUUCUUUUUAUCGUUUCGUUUUUUUUCUUCUCUUCUCGUUCUGGCUAUUCUUCAAUUUCUCGCGAUCUCUUUUCUCUCUCUUCAUCUUCUGAGUGAUAGUGUUGUUGUUGUUGUUGAUCGUGCUUUUCGUUACGCUCAUGGUGAUCGAACAAGACAUUGAAAGCUGCGGAAGCAGAGCAGUGCAGUCGCAUCCGAAUCCUCGCCAUCACCGUCAGAAACUUGAGGUGUACAAUGAGGUUCUUCGUCGAAUUCAGGAUUCCGAUUGUGAAGAGGCUCAUGUUCCUGGUUUCGAUGAUCAAUUAUGGCUUCACUUCAAUCGUCUUCCUGCUAGGUAUGCAUUGGAUGUGAAUGUGGAGAGGGCAGAAGAUGUUCUUGCUCAUAAGAGAUUGCUCAAGUUAGCAGAGGAUCCUGCUAAUCGACCUGCAUUUCAAGUUCGAUUAGUACAGGUAUAUCCUUUUGCUAAUGCAAAUUAUAUUGAUUCUUCCGUGCAUUCAGAUACUUCUGAGAAAGAAGAUGCACAGAGUUCUCUUAACUAUUCUUUAAAACAGGGAAUUCAUCCACCACCCACCUUUGGUUCUUCCUCUAAUCUUGAAGCUCUUGCACUUCAAACAAAUAAAAAUAACAUUGAAGAUGGAGACAAUGCUAUGGGCGUGACAGCAAAUUUUAACCGGCCCAUGCACGAGAUUACCUUUUCAACAGUUGAUAAACCUAAACUCCUUAGUCAGUUAACUUUGAUACUUGGUGAGAUUGGACUGAAUAUUCAAGAAGCUCAUGCAUUUUCCACCUCUGAUGGGUUUUCCUUGGAUGUCUUUGUCGUUGAGGGAUGGCCUAAUGAGGAAACUGAGGAACUUAAAGGUGUGUUGGAAAAGGAAAUUUGGAAGGUUAAGGACCAAUAUCUGUCAAAUCAAGGCAUACUUUAUGCUUUCAAUGAUCCAAACCAUACAACAAUGGAAUCCUCCCCUCCUUGCAUACAAAUACCAUCUGAUGGAGCUGAUGUUUGGGAAAUUGAUACCAGCCAGCUAAAAUAUGAAAACAAAGUUGGCUCUGGAUCAUUUGGUGACUUGUUCAGAGGCACAUAUUGCAGUCAAGAUGUGGCUAUCAAAGUUCUUAAGCCUGAACGCAUAAGCACAGAUAUGCUGAAAGAGUUUGCACAGGAAGUUUAUAUCAUGAGGAAGAUUCGACACAAGAAUGUUGUUCAGUUCAUUGGUGCAUGUACUCGGCCACCAAAUCUUUGCAUUGUUACUGAGUUUAUGUCUAGAGGAAGCUUAUAUGACUUUCUGCACAGACAAAAGGGUGUGUUUAAGCUUCCAUCUUUACUAAAAGCAGCGAUUGAUGUUUCCAAGGGAAUGAACUAUUUGCACCAAAAUAAUAUAAUUCACAGGGACCUCAAGACUGCCAAUCUUCUGAUGGAUGAAAAUGAAUUGGUCAAGGUUGCCGAUUUUGGGGUCGCUAGAGUGCAAACUCAGUCUGGAGUGAUGACAGCUGAAACUGGAACAUACCGCUGGAUGGCUCCUGAGGUCAUUGAACACAAACCAUAUGAUCAGAAGGCAGAUGUUUUCAGUUUUGGAAUAGCACUUUGGGAGCUUUUAACCGGAGAGCUGCCUUACUCUUACUUGACCCCAUUACAAGCAGCAGUUGGUGUGGUGCAGAAGCUUAAAUUGCUAUUAGGGUCUACGACCUACAAUUCCCAAAAAUACACAUCCAAGACUUUCUGAACUACUACAGCGGUGCUGGCAACAAGAUCCAAAGGAGAGACCAGCUUUCUCUGAAAUAAUUGAAAUUCUUCUGAACAUAGCGAAAGAGGUGAAUGAUGACAAAUUAGAUCGACAUAAAGAUAAAUCAUCCCACGGUUUUCUCUCAUCACUUAGGCGCGCUCAUCACUGAUACUGAUAUAUAAGGAUCCAUCAAGAGUGUAACCUUUUUGUCCUGUACAGUAGUCUGACCAAGAUCAAUUGAGUUUGGUUGUUCUGCUCUUGAAAAAUCCUGUUCUAUUGUGCUAUUGCCUUAAUUUUUUUUGUUGCAAUUGCGUCUCUCUUCUUUUGUCCUCUCAACUAUUGUUACUCAGCGGUGAGUAGGAUGGAUGCAAGAGCAGUGGUGGUCGAAAGUCGAAAAUUCAUGGCAUCGUGUAAUGUUAAUUCUUUGCUUUGUUUUCCACGUUUUUUUGAAUCGGAGCUUUUACUAUGCACUCCCCUUUGAUGUUUACCAGUAAAAACAUUAUAUCACGAGAUGUAGUAUAAGGCUCAAUGAAUUUGGCAUAUGCCACCAUGUAA